UACAGAGGUCUCAAGCGUUGUUCGGAUUCAUUGGGCGUAAAGGGUGCGUAGGCGGCGCGGUAAGUCGGGUGUGAAAUUUCGGAGCUUAACUCCGAAACUGCAUUCGAUACUGCCGUGCUUGAGGACUGGAGAGGAGACUGGAAUUUACGGUGUAGCGGUGAAAUGCGUAGAUAUCGUAAGGAAGACCAGUGGCGAAGGCGGGUCUCUGGACAGUUCCUGACGCUGAGGCACGAAGGCCAGGGGAGCAAACGGG
rnacentral:rRNA from 1 species